GUGAAUCAUCAAAUUUUUGAACGCAAAUUGCACUCUCUUCGGAGAGUAUGCCUGUUUGAGGGUCAGCCUAAAAAAAAAUCGACAUAUUCCCUGUUUCGCGUUGCCAUUCGUCGGAAAUUGGGUAAUCUUAACCCUUUGGUUUUUAAGCGGCUUAAAAUUUUUUUUCCGAUUCCCCGACCGUUUCUAAGAUUUACUUCUUUACCGUUAAAGCAA
rnacentral:misc_RNA from 1 species